UUCUUCGAAUUGUUCAACUUUUACAUCUCUGAAGAGCUGCUCAGAUUCUUGUCUGCCUUCGAAUUUUGGUACAACGAAUGAGUUAAUUUCAUUUAACUGAUUAUUUGUCGAACUGGUAGAUUCAAUUGAAUAACGUGCUCUUUUUUGAUCAGAAGCUUCAUCACGUAUUGGUAGGUCAUCAUAAAACCUGUUUAAAACUGCUUCAGAAUGUGCUUGUGAGAAUGAAGUUCCGGGAAUAUUCA
ensembl:antisense_RNA anr-15 ncRNA